rnacentral:rRNA from 1 species
AUUGAACGCUGGCGGCAUGCCUUACACAUGCAAGUCGAACGGUAACAGGUCUUCGGAUGCUGACGAGUGGCGAACGGGUGAGUAAUACAUCGGAACGUGCCUAGUAGUGGGGGAUAACUACUCGAAAGAGCGGCUAAUACCGCAUGAGAUCUACGGAUGAAAGCAGGGGAUCGCAAGACCUUGUGCUACUAGAGCGGCCGAUGGCAGAUUAGGAAGUUGGUGGGAUAAAAGCUUACCAAGCCGACGAUCUGUAGCUGGUCUGAGAGGACGAUCAGCCACACUGGGACUGAGACACGGCCCAGACUCCUACGGGAGGCAGCAGUGGGGAAUUUUGGACAAUGGGCGAAAGCCUGAUCCAGCAAUGCCGCGUGCAGGAUGAAGGCCUUCGGGUUAUAAACUGCUUUUGUACGGAACGAAAAGCCCCGGGUUAAUACCCUGGGGUCAUGACGGUACCGUAAGAAUAAGCACCGGCUAACUACGUGCCAGCCGCCGCCGUAA